rnacentral:pre_miRNA from 1 species
AGGAGGAACAACCGCAGUGGCGGCGGCCAGCUCUGGAUCCUUGGAGUCAGCUCCCACAGUAACUCCAGAGCUCUCAGUCUGCAGGGCCUGGAGGCUCUGGGGUGGG